rnacentral:rRNA from 1 species
UACGAAGGGGGCUAGCGUUGUUCGGAUUUACUGGGCGUAAAGCGCACGUAGGCGGAUUGUUAAGUCAGGGGUGAAAUCCCGAGGCUCAACCUCGGAACUGCCUUUGAUACUGGCAAUCUUGAGGCUGGAAGAGGUUGGUAGAAUUCCCAGUGUAGAGGUGAAAUUCGUAGAUAUUGGGAAGAAUACCAGUGGCGAAGGCGGCCAACUGGUCCAGAUCUGACGCUGAGGUGCGAAAGCGUGGGGAGCAAACAGGAUUAGAAACCCCGGU